CCUACGGGUGGCUGCAGUGGGGAAUAUUGGACAAUGGAGGCAACUCUGACCCAGCAACGCCGCGUGUGCGAUGAAGGUCUUCGGAUUGUAAAGCUCUUUCGCCGGGGACGAAGGAUGACGGUACCCUGUAAGAAAGCCCCGGCAAACUACGUACCAGCAGCCGCGGUAAUACGUAGGGUGCUAGCGUUGUCCGGAAUUACGGGGCGUAAAGGGAGUGUAGACGGCUUGUCAAGUUAAGUGUGAAAGCCUGCGGCUUAACCGCAGAAUUGCACUUAAAAAUGACUCGCUAGAGUGCAGGAGAGGUGAGUAGAAUUCCAAGUGUAGCGGUGGAAUGCGUAGAGAUUAGGAAGAACACCAGAGGCGAAGGCGGCUCACUGGACUGUGACUGACGUUGAGGUGCGAAAGCGUGGGGAGCAAACAGGAUUAGAUACCCCUGUAGUC
rnacentral:rRNA from 1 species